rnacentral:rRNA from 1 species
AUGAACGACGCUCUACGUGCGCUGUGCGCAGUGCUGCCAGAAGUGCGCGGGCACACACCGCACGAGUACACAUCUGGUGGAAACCGUACAUCCAGCGAAAACCUGAAAACUUGGUCUUGUGCCGUUGGAUGGAAAAUGUGUGCUCCGCCGGCCAUCUCCACCCCUGCCCCGGAGUGCGUCUCGUGCUUCGGAUCCUUGGCUCUCCGUGGAUUCUCUCCGUGGAUGCCUUCCGAACUCUUCCCAUGGAUGGUGUGCCACUGUCAGCGGUUCUACCACCCCUACGGGCAGUACAACCGCUGGAGCGGUACUGCCGGCGGAAGAUCCGGUGGCUCUAGUUCUCGCUCUGCUCCUCGCAAGACCAAGAAGAGGGCACGAAGGACCUUGCGCUCGGUUGUGUCAGAUGAUGAAGAAGUUGUGAUUCCCACCAAGCCCACUCGCCGUGAAAAGUCUGCAGCUGCUAAGCAACGUGUGGUCAUGGCUUUCUGUAAUGCUAUUGGGUACGAGGAUACCGGUCUGCAAGGAAGGGGUGGCAUUCGCCCUCAUGAUUUUCCUGAGUCCAUGCCUAAGGAGAAGCUUGCCCCUCUGUACAUUCGGGGCCGUGGGAUUAUUGGAGAAUCCAAGGAUUUGGAGAAGGUCUAUGACAUCAUGCACCGAGUGUUCCGCAAUGUGCUCUUGCCCAAAAUGGGCAAUCAAGAUGAAAUUCAUGGAUAUCUGGUUGAUUUGAUGGUUGCUAUGAAGACCAUGGUGGGGACAGGGGCAACGUUUGAUGUGUCAAAUUGGCUGUGGCAUGAGAUGUACAACAUGGUCAUCUACCAUAAAGUCCCAAUCUACACUCCGUUUGUCAUGUGCUUUCUGAACUUUGUGUGGGCUGUUCGUCGUCCUGGAGAGCUCCUCACUUCUCCAGACAACUUCACUGUUCAUGAGGUCAAGCUCCUUAAGAAGAAGAAGCAUGCCGAGCCUCGCUUCCCUGAACAUGCUCCUGAGGAUGUCUAUGCUACUUCUGACGAUGAGGACUUUGAGAUGGAGCCAGGGGCCAAGCCUUCGUGGGUGGCCAAACUUACUGUCAAGGUAAAGAAGACCUUUUGUCUCCAGGCUGACAUCCAGAAGAAGAUGUAUGAGGCACAUGUCAAUGAGAAGCUCGCACGGCGUCGCCAAAUUGCAAUGAUGAAGCACCUCAACAUGAAGUGGCGGGCCUAUUCCGAGCGUUCCGUGCUGGGUCGGCGGUCAAUGAGCGGCGCGACUGAUUCCUCUCUCGCGAUUGUGCGGCCAACCGUGCUCAAUCCCCAACUAUCCCCAAUUGGAUUUGGGUCCCUAGAUUGGGCUAGAUUUGCAAAGCAAACAGAGGAGGCGACUAGCUCAUGGCUCAUUGGGUCGUCUCCUCCAAGUAAAAGGUUCAACCUUCGAGAAUCAUGGAUACCAACUUAUUUCAAAGAAAUAGCUUUGUCAGGGCUUAUGCGGACCACUUCAAGAUUUUACACGGCUUUGGAAGAACAACGUCAUAAGGAGUUGCAAGAGGACCAUGUGAGCCUACAUACGAUGCCUGUGUUGAAGACAUCAUGGGCGAUUGAAAAACAUCAUGGGCGAUUGAAAAGUAUGGCAGCGAUAUUGUCUCCACACCGCACACCGUGUCCGGCUGGCCGGAUCCCGCAUGCAUGUAUGCAUGAUAAUCUACGGGACCAGCAGAGAAUGAUGGAUCCAGAGCGGGUGGCAAGCGACGGGCGGAUCACGCCAUGCAAGGCGCUACAAUCCACAGUACCCCCCGUGAACCGCAGGCAUCUCCCCGCCCAGCCUCCGCGCGCGCCCUGCCUCCGUCACGCGACGAGACGAGACGAGACGAGAGGAUCGCUGGAUUGCUCUAGCCACCCAUGUGCCCUCCCGGCCCCUUCGCCGUCUGCCGCGCGCGAAUCGGCACAGAAACGGGGGGCUUGGUCGCUUCUUCCGCGGCUGCACUGCAUCUCGCGUCUCCGUGCAGCUCGGCGGCACGCGCGCCCGCGCUGCGCCGAGGCCGGGCCGGACUGCCAGAUGCUCGGGCCCCAGGAUAGGAGUGGUGCCGCUACCAGACGAAACAGCUCUGCUUCCUUCACCGGCUUUACUACAGAGUGCAAAAGGUCUCCUGCUCUAUUUGACGGGUGCGGGACCAGAUCAAUGGCCACUGCACUGGCUAAUGGUAUAUUAAGUCCGAGCCCAUCCACCUCCUCCCUCUCCCGCUUCGGCGCUCUGCCAUGGUCUGACGCUCCUCCCAUGCUCCGGCGCUCCGCCAUGGUUCGGAGCAAAAUCACCUACUAUGCAAUGCUGACGCCAGAGCGCCGCUACGAGAUCCAGGCGAGGCAAACCACGUGCGCCGUCCGCAUCACUGUCGGGUUGCCUUCGGACUCGCCGGAGUCGGAGGUGGAGAAGGAGCAGCCGGGGGAAGAGGAGGAGGAGGAGAUGGCUUCGAUGGAGGUGGAGGAGGUAGAGCAGCAGGAGUCGGAGCCGUCGGGCUUCAAUAUGAAGCAGGUGGAGGCGGAGUUCGCCGUCGCCCAGUCGGAGGAGAUGGGGGAGCAGCAGGCCAUCCUGGAGUCGAUCUAG